AGAAUUCAGAGCUUAGAAAACUGAAUUUUAACAUUAAAAAAGUUCAAUGUUAGGAGAUUUUCAGAACUUGAGAGAGAAAUACAGGCUACAUUCUUACACUUAGAAUUCAGUUUUGAGAGUUUAAAAGAAAAAAAAUACAGGCUGGUCUUUGAAUUGGAAAAAGUGAGUUUUAUUCUCAAAAAUUUUGAGUGUUAAGGCUAGUC
rnacentral:lncRNA from 1 species